CGUCACGGAGCAACCCAUGGUUCUGGAGAAAACAGCGAGUCUUAUGCUAAAGGAAGCUGUUUCCUAUAUUGAAAGCCAGUGACUUCAUGUCAUCAUCAGAAGUUACCGAAAGUGAAGCGAUAAAGUUAAUGUUCAGGACAAUGCAGACACGCUGUCUUCCUUCUAUGGCCUUCAAGAAACCCUGGAGAGGACCAGUGAGGCUGCAGAUUCUUAAAAGAGCAUAGACAUUAAAAUUCUUGCAGAAUCUGAAUGUGUCUCCUGAGACAAGCAUCGUGAUAGAGUUCACAGUCUUAAAAGUCUGCAUUUUCAGGUGGGGCAAGGUGGCUCAUGCCUUUAAUCCCAGCAUUUUGGG
rnacentral:lncRNA from 1 species